GCCCCGGUUCUGUCUGAUAUGUUUGAUAUGAGGUUGUCUGAUGGGAAACCAACUCAAUAUCAAACAUAUUCUCACAGCGCCGGGGC
rfam:Colinus virginianus strain Texas jcf7180006213031, whole genome shotgun sequence.